GGGGGCGCCGGCGGAGAUCUACCUGCCGGCGGAGGUGGACUGGGAGAUGCUCGACAAGUCCCGCUUCUUCAUCCUUGGCGCCGCCCUCUUCUCCGCCGUCUCCGCCGCGCUCUACCCGGCGGUGGUGCUCAAGACCCGCCUCCAGGUCUCCCGCCAGCCGCUCUCCUGCUGCCGCGCCGCCGCCAAUAUCAUCCGCGCCGAGGGCCCCCGCGGGUUCUACCGCGGCUUCGCCACCUCUCUCGCCGGCACCAUCCCCGCCCGCGCCCUCUACAUGGCCGCUCUCGAGGU
rnacentral:misc_RNA from 1 species